rnacentral:lncRNA from 1 species
CAAGCAUCUCAGCUGCCUGAGAGGGAAAUUGAGGCCUAAACAGCCAAAGUGGCAAGCCUUCUGAUCAUGGUGCCCAGUGCAGCGAUCUCUGUCACCAAACUGACAGCCUCUUUGGUUAAUAUUACAGUUUAGGAGAAGAAGUUCGACAGCUUUUCUCAGGUUGAAAAGAAAACAAAACAGAACGAUUUAGUUUGUCCAGCUGCUGUGCUGAGUUACCUUAAAGGCUCAGGUGGUGACAGCAGCGUGUUCAAUGACCUGGAUUUAUUUAUUGCCUAUUUUUAUUGUUACAACCUGGCCAUUCAGUGUCUGGCUCUCAGGGUGACCUGUGGACAUAAUAAGAAUCCAUCCCAAAGGAAAUAUUCUCAGUCAACCAGCCUGGUUACUCUACAUGGAAAUCAGUUGAGAAGAACUAAAACUCUAUCUUUGCUUUUCAGACCGCACUGGGGUCGUGUCUACUUUGGUAUUUUCCUGUGUGGAAGCCUCAGCGGAGUUCUGUUCCUUCAGGAUUCUACCUCCAUGCCAUGUUGACUCUGAAGGGAAGUUGAAAGCAGUCUGUCAAUCUUUAGGAGGGCAUCCUCUUCAGGAGGCAUCUUAGGCUCUUAAUUCUAAGUCCUAGAGAAUUCUAUUUUCUUCUUCCUCUACCUCCCUACCUCUCUUUCUGUCCUGGCCCGAUCACAUCCUCUUUAAUCUUUCUAAAUGGAUAUUAUAGCCUCAGGGACUCCAAGAAGAUUCAAGGAUAAACAGGAGCUAAGCCCCUGAAAUGCCAGGCUCCCUCCAAUGCCAUCUUCUCCGCACAAAAGCCCUGGUUAGAAAUGCCAUCAAGAGAGCAGCCUCUGAGGGUUCUUUGUCAAACUCAAGAAGUGACUGAUGACUGAUGCACAACACAUGGAAAGAGAAACGUCGACCCGAUGGGUUGCUCCAGAUUAAUGACCUAGAGGUGGCAAGGGACGUUUACACGGCCUCUGAUGCGCCCUUUGCUGUUGCCAUGCAACAAUAUGUCACAGGCUGAUUCACUCAUCUCACUGAAUAAUGAAGUGUCUCUGCAGUAAAGAAAAAC